AUCUGGGCGGCGGAAUUCAGGAUGGCUGACGUGCCUUAGCCGGUGCGUCGGUCGUUUGAUAUUUCCGUCGCCGACAACCGCAGACGUCGCGACCUGUUCGCGGUCGGUCCCUGCUCGGAGGAGCCGCGUUCGAGCUCGUUGUGUGCGCGUUUCGGCGUGUCACACGGCGAAGGCGCGGAUCUCUGGCUGGCCGUCGGACAGUAUGCUUAACGGUGUCCGAUGUCGUCGUUUCGUACGCGCGGCAUCGGUACCGGUCAGCGACGAAUUCUUCGGGCCUCUUUCCGACCCGUCUUGAAACACGGACCAAGGAGUCUAACAUGCGCGCGAGUCGCGGGGUAUCGAGCGUACUUCGGUGCGUUCGUUAUGUUGCGAAACCCGUACAUGUCGAAGGCGUAAUGAAAGUGAAUGGGGAAGAUGGUGUUCCGAGUUCACGUUCCGCGAUCAUCGGUAUCGCGGCCGGACGCCCGCAUUCCCGGGGCGUCUCAACGGCCCGUCGCUGAUGCGGACCGUCGUCCUUCGGGGCGGCUGUCGGUCGGCGACGAACCGA
rnacentral:rRNA from 1 species